rnacentral:lncRNA from 1 species
AUGCCAAACUCCAUUCCACAAGGAGCCUGUCAACAGCGGGGCUUGGGGGCUCGAGGAGCAGAGCCGCUGCGAUUGGAGGGGGCCCCCCGCCCCCCUGCUCGCCGCCGCCCACGCGGGGGCUCCCCGGCUGCCGCCGCGCGGGGCGCGGCACGAGGGGCACGAGGGGCACGAGGGGCACGAGGGGCACGUCCCCGGCCCCGGGUGCAGGGAGCGCCGCGGCUGGCACCCCGCGCCCGCGCCCGCGCCCGCGCCCACGCCCGGCCGCCCGCGCGCCCCGCUCCGCCGCCCGCGCCGCUCGCCUUCCGCGGCGCCCCCGCCCCCGCCCCCGCCCCCGCCCCCGCCCGCGCCCGCGCCCGCCCCGGCCCGCACGCCCCCGCCUCCGCGCAGUCCUCCCGCCGCAUUACCGGUGCCCUCGAGGCGGCUGGGCGGAGCGCCCCUGCCCGGGGAAGGCAGCCUGCGGGCGCUCGCCCCGAGCCCGGGAACAGGAGGUCUCCUUGCCAGGCGCACUCACAUUAUUCAUGCAAAGUUAAUCCCCGCCGCGUCACGGCCGCCCGCCCGGGGAUGUGCGCCUUCCUCGGCCGAGCCCCGCAGUCUCCACCCUCCUCCGCCCCCUCCUCCCGGCGGCGGGGUCCCGGGGAGCGCCGGCGACGGGACGUCGCGCGAGUCCUGCGAAAUGUCAACUCCUCGGGCGAGAGAGGCGGCCGCCGCCAGGGCCGCCCGGCCCUCCCCGGCCGCUCCACUUUUAUAGGCGCAGGAAGCGACUGCGGUCCGGGCCGCGAGUCCCCGCCUCUCCGGCCCCCCGCGCGCCCGGCCCGCCCCGGCCCGCUCCCCGGCCGCUGCCUUACUCCGGGCCCGGGCGCCGGCUCCGCGCCGCGUCUGCGAACCGGUGACCUGGUUUCCCCCGCGCCCCUCGCGGCGGUCCUACCCGCGCGGCGGCGGCGGCGGCGGCGGCGGCCAAGAGCAAGCCAACCCCGCUCCGCCAGGGGCGCAGCGAGGAAAUGGCCUCCAGCCGCUCGCCCCGCCGGCCCCGACGCCCCUCGCCCCUCGCCCGGCUCCCCGCAGGCGCCCGGGAGCGCCCGCCCCCCGCGCUCGCCGACCCCUGCCCGCGGCCCACGCGCGCACCGCCCCGGGCCGGCCGCCCCCGCACCUGCUCCCGGGUUCGGGCGCGCCCUCCCCUCCCAGCCCGGGAGCCCUGGCCAGGGCGGCCGCGCGUCCACCCACCCGGCGGCGUGCGCACCGCGGCUCGGGCUCGGGCGUCAUUCCUCUGGGAGGCGGAAAGGAAGAAAUGGGGGACGAGUGACAGGCAGGCGGGGGACCUUCCAGGAGCUCGGGCUCUGCCUGGGGCAGGACCGGCGCGGCCCCUGCCACUGCGCUCCUCCCUCCUUCUCCAAACCACUUGUGGCGCGUGUCGGGCAGACUGAGCGCUCUGGCUCCUCCUGGGGCCUCCCACGGGCCGGGCCGUCUGGAGUUCCCUUACCGUCACCCGCCAGCCCGCCCCCGCCCCCACCCCGCCCCCGCACCCCCCGUGGUGGCUUGGAAAAUACCUGGCUUGCUUUUGCGGGAGACACCCCUCCGCACAGUUACGCACAUCCUGGGAGAUGUGUGCAGAGUUGA